ACGAGGGGGGCGAGCGUUGUUCGGAAUUAUUGGGCGUAAAGGGUGCGUAGGCGGUUUGGUAAGUCUGAUGUGAAAUCUAUGGGCUCAACUCAUAGUCUGCAUCGGAAACUGCCGGGCUUGAGUAUGGGAGAGGUGAGUGGAAUUCCUGGUGUAGCGGUGAAAUGCGUAGAUAUCAGGAGGAACACCUGUGGCGAAAGCGGCUCACUGGACCAUAACUGACGCUGAUGCACGAAAGCUAGGGGAGCAAACAGGAUUAGAUACCCUGGUAGUCCUAGCCCUAAACGAUGAUCGCUUGGUGUGACGGGUACCCAAUCCCGCCGUGCCGUAGCUAACGCGUUAAGCGAUCCGCCUGGGGAGUACGGUCGCAAGGCUG
rnacentral:rRNA from 1 species